rnacentral:lncRNA from 1 species
UCAGUCCCAGUGGGACUCUCCCACAAAAUCUUAGUCUGAGUAGGACUCUUCACUAGAGUCCCAAUCUAAUUGGACUCUUCAGCCAUCAGAUCUGAUCAAAUCUUCUAAUGUGUGUGACCCCAUAGGUUCGAACCUAAACUGAUAGCAUAGAAAUAAUUUUUUAUAUAAAUUGAUGUAACCAUCUAGCAAUGGUGACCCGAC